GAUAAACGCUGGCGGCGUGCUUAACACAUGCAAGUCGAACGAAGUUUUUCCUUCGGGAGAAACUUAGUGGCGGACGGGUGAGUAACGCGUGGGUAACCUGCCCUGUACAGGGGGACAACAGCUGUAAACGGCUGCUAAUACCGCAUAAGCCCUUAGCACUGCAUGGUGCAUAGGGAAAAGGAGCAAUCCGGUACGGGAGGGACCCGCGUCUGAUUAGCCAGUUGGCAGGGUAACGGCCUACCAAAGCGACGAUCAGUAGCCGAUCUGAGAGGAUGUACGGCCACAUUGGGACUGAGACACGGCCCAGACUCCUACGGGAGGCAGCAGUGGGGAAUAUUGCACAAUGGAGGAAACUCUGAUGCAGCGACGCCGCGUGAGUGAAGAAGUAUUUCGGUAUGUAAAGCUCUAUCAGCAGGGAAGAAAAUGACGGUACCUGACUAAGAAGCACCGGCUAAAUACGUG
rnacentral:rRNA from 1 species